rnacentral:misc_RNA from 1 species
GAAAUGCGAUAAGUAAUGUGAAUUGCAGAAUUCAGUGAAUCAUCGAAUCUUUGAACGCACCUUGCGCUCCUUGGUAUUUCUUGGAGCAUGCCUGUUUGAGUAUCAUGAAAUCUUCAAAGUAAAUCUUUUGUUAACUCAAUUGGCUUCUACUUUGGUAUUGGAGGUCUUUGCAGCUUCACACCUGCUCCUCUUUGUUCAUUAGCUGGAUCUCAGUGUUAUGCUUGGUUCCACUCGGCGUGAUAAGUUAUCUAUUGCUGAGGACACUGUAAAAGGUGGCCAAGGUAAAUGCAGAUGAACCGCUUCUAAUAGUCCAUUGACUUGGACAAUACUUUUAUGAUCUGAUCUCAAAUCAGGUAGGACUACCCGCUGAACUUAAGG